GAAUUUAAGAGAAUCACAACAAUUAAUUUGCAAUCCAAGUUCUUCUCUUCGCAGGAUAUUCACUCUACAAGCCUGAUCGACGUGAAUACCAAGAAAGGUGGAGUUCAAGGGAAGAAGAUCAAAAGCAUCAUGCUUCCCAUAACCCAGACUGACAGCAUUGACGUGAGACGCGAAUGCAUCCUCAAAGGUCUUUGUGUAUACUUCAACGAAGAUCCAGAGAAGCUGGUGAAGGAAUACAUGAGCAUCGACAACAGCAGUCAAACGGCAAUCAGAGACGGUCUUCGGAAUAUUUGUCAUUCGACACGAAGGUGCAGAGCCUGGGGAUGACCCCGAGAACGUUGGGAUCAUUCUGGAGGGGCUCGAAGUGCUGGAUGAGUUGGGAAACGUAUCUUUUGCGGUGGCGAUGAUGUUUGCUCUCGUGUAUGCUCUAAACUUAUACCCUCCAGAGCUGAAGUUUACAUUUGAAGCACUGCAGAAAAUAAUGAUGGAGCUGGAAACAGACUAUCCACAAAAGGACAAGUCCUCAAAACAUUGCUUUCCCGUGCCUAAUGUCACUGUUUGGGAUCGCCUCAUCUUCCAAACACGCAGCCAUCAGAGAUUCGGUGACUCACCUCUUUGACAGAAAUGUUGAUUAUAUGCAAGAAGUAUAAAAGUAAGCAUUCAAAGUUGGCUGUAGCAUGGUUACGUGGACCUCACUGAGCAGAGGGCUGUGCGAGGAGGCAGAUGUUACCAUGUUGCCUUAUUUGGUGUUGAAACUCAAGUUUGUUAUAUUGUUCACCCUAAAGUUGAAACAUUUUAAUAUUUGGGAAGAAACUGUUUUUUUUCAAGCAUCUGUCAGUGUAAAGCUAUUUUGUGAAAUAUAUAUUCACUGUUAUAUUUAAUGUCUGUCAGUGCAAAGCAUUGUUUAUCUUUGCCUAUUUUGUGAAAUAUAUAUUCACUGUUAUAUUUAAUACAGUGAAACCCAGUCUGCUUGUUGGUUGAGAUGGUGUUCUUAAUGGUCUUUUUUUAUUGCAUGUUCUCUAAUCUGCAUACUUAGACAUCUUGCGUUUGUGUUAUGUUUCCACCCUUGAAGCUCACUAGACUGUAGACUGUUGAAAUUCUGUUUCUGUUGUUGUUCACUCUAAAUGUUUUAAAUGUGUAAACACUCAAAAGUUAUUCUUUGAAUGAACUUGAUUAAAUCAUGGACAGUA